AUUGAACGCUGGCGGCAUGCUUUACACAUGCAAGUCGAACGGCAGCGCGGGCUUCGGCCUGGCGGCGAGUGGCGAACGGGUGAGUAAUGCAUCGGAACGUGCCCAGUAGUGGGGGAUAGCCCGGCGAAAGCCGGAUUAAUACCGCAUACGACCUGAGGGUGAAAGCGGGGGACCGAAAGGCCUCGCGCUAUUGGAGCGGCCGAUGUCGGAUUAGCUAGUUGGUGGGGUAAAGGCUUACCAAGGCGACGAUCCGUAGCUGGUCUGAGAAGACGACCAGCCACACUUGGACUGAGACACGGCCCAGACUCCUACGGGAGGCAGCAGUGGGGAAUUUUGGACAAUGGGGGCAACCCUGAUCCAGCCAUGCCGCGUGCGGGAAGAAGGCCUUCGGGUUGUAAACCGCUUUUGUUCAGGAAGAAAUCCUCUGGGCUAAUACCCCGGGGGGAUGACGGUACCGGAAGAAUAAGCACCGGCUAACUACGUG
rnacentral:rRNA from 1 species